GCUCUGCCCCCACAGCCCCCACACAAGGAGGGGCGGGAGCGGCCGCUCCCAGGGGCGCUGGGUUUUUCCUGCUGUCUGGGAAGUGACCGGCCGAGGAGCAGUGGCCUUAAGUAAAACCAGAAGUUCCAUCUCAGCAUGAGGAAGAACUUUCUUUACGUUGAGGGUGCCAGGCUGCCCUGGGAGGUUUGUGGAAUCUCCCUGUCUGGAGACAUUCCAAACCCACCUGGACGCGUUCCUGUGUCACCUGCUCUAAGUGAUCCUGUCGUGGUGCGGGGGUUGGAAUAGGUGGUCUCCAGAGGUCCCUUCCAACCUGGCAAUCCCUUGAUUUUGUGAGUCGUUUACCUCGGCAAGCGCCCCUGCCUUCCCUGUUUCUUUGAUGUCAUCCUUUAAACCGGUCCCCCUCGCACCAGUGUUUCCAGGUCUACACAGAGCCAGGAGCCGCAGGAGAGAGCUAGGAGUAGUGGGAGCGAGAGAAAAGUAACAAAACCUGCCUUUUCUUGUUUAUGAGGUUUGCCCAAAGGUGUCUCUUGGGAGUGAAGUUGCUUGCAAAGCAUUUUCAGAUGUAGCCGUUCCUUCCCCCCACACUUCAUAUUCCUUGGUAACUGGAGAACUGUCAGCAUUUGAAACCAGGCAAGGGGUGAAAGCUUCAUUAAAAUACACCUGGACAAGAAAACCCAUGCAUGGAUCGGAAAACAGAUUAUUCUUGCAGCGCCCCCGAGUUCAUUAAAAUACAAUUGUUGCUCGCUUAACUGCAGAAACACUUCCUAGAACCUCUUCUCUCCUUUUCCCACCCUGGACAGACCCUGAAAAAUAUCAAACCACGGUGGGCUGGACUCCACUACGGGGAUAACCACAUAGAGGGUGGGGGGACUGCAGCAUUAUCAGCAUAUUAUCUCUUGUUAUCCAGAAAAGGCUCUUCCCUGAUUCUUCAAACAGGAUUUUCCUGUUACUGUGUGUGGGCUGGGAGGUUUAACUACAUUCUGACUCUUCCUUUGCUAUGCGUGCAAUUGUUUCCCAGAAAUCUUUAUGGAAACCUUUAUGCAAGAAGGCAUAAACCUGCUCGGGAGAGUAGUCUCAGUGCUCGACAAGCCAAAUCCUUCUAGGGGACAGCUGUCAUCAUCACAACACAGCCAAGCAAGCAACCACCCCCUUCAACCCUUUACAUUAAGGAACAGUUUUGACUUAAGCCUAUUUUGUAUCUUGUAAGAAGAUUAAAAGAAUUAAAGAGAAA